UCAUCGGCCCCGCGCCUCCGCCCCGCCCGGCUCCCCGGCCUCCCGUCCCGCUGCGCCGCUCUGCCGACCGUCGCCCGCCGCCGCCAAAAUGUCUACAGGUGCACCUGCAGGUUCGAGUGCUGCCUCUGGCAGUAACCGAAGACUUCAGCAGACACAAAAUCAAGUGGAUGAGGUGGUGGACAUCAUGAGAGUCAACGUGGAUAAGGUGUUGGAAAGAGAUCAGAAGCUCUCGGAAUUAGAUGAUCGUGCAGACGCACUGCAGGCUGGAGCUUCCCAAUUUGAAACAAGUGCCGCCAAGCUGAAGAGAAAAUACUGGUGGAAGAAUUGCAAGAUGUGGGCGAUAGGGAUUGUCGUCGUGGUCGUCAUCAUCAUCAUCAUCAUAGAGUGGGGAUGGUAAUAGUACCUACCCCAUAUGUCUGUUACGAGGACACAACUGGCUGAUCCGUAACAAGCGAGUAGCAUGGCGUCUGGCGUUUAGUGGUGCCAGUUGUUGUGGAACGUGUCCCCGUGAAGAAACAGUGAAGCUCUGGCCUGCUGUUCGAGAAACCUCUUCAAGACGUUUGACUUAGAACCUGCUAUACUCUCGAGCUCGCCUACUGUUCUGUCUAAAGUGAAUAUUUUCUGUUUGUUACUGUCAAGUUUAAUUUCUGGGAAACGUGCCUUUGUUAUCGUAAGCACUCCAAACUUGAAGUGCGGCCACCCGGCCCACACUUGGCCCGGCGCCUUCAGACUGCCGCGUGGCUGAGGAAGCGGACUUGAGUCCCAGCGUGUCGUAACCUGGAAGUCCCGCUGUGUGAUUAAUUGCCAUUAAUUUCAGUUAAGGGGAUUCGUUCCCAGAGGCUCCCCCUGUCACACGGCAUCUUCAGAACCACAUUUUAAACCUUUAGGUAAUCAGAAUUCCAGUUUGUGCCUUCCAGAAAGAACACUACUGCCUAACACAAAUCUGUAACCGUAACAGGUUGUGCCUUACUUUGCUAUUUUUCUGAUCCCCUGUAAGAGAACUCUGUACUGUUUAUAAGCACUACUGACCCUUGCACCGUAUUUAAAAAUAAGAUUCUGACCAAGAGUUUUUGCUCUUACCGUAGAUACGAAGAUGUUUACUUUCCUGUUACUGUUUUGUAUCACUUGCUGAAAAUGUUAUUUUCAUCAGAAAUAAUCGCCUCUCGAAAACAUUUUUACGGAGCUGAGGCCAUGACCAAAGUUUCUAUUUUGCCAAAAAGUUAAAUGCCAGUACAGCGUCCUCAAGUCGGUUCCCGACAGAUAAAUUCAGAAAAGUGACAAAUGGAACUUAAGGUGCCCUUCAGAAUUAAAAUGAUAACAUUACAGUGAACCUUCUACAUCCUAUCAGGCCUUUCUUGCCUUUGAGAUGCUGUUUGUGGUGCAGCUCCCGCCUGCACCCCACGCCCCCGCCCUGAUUGAGCAUUUCUCCCAGGGGUUAGAGAAGGUCUAAGCUAGACUCCAACCAUCUCCUACCCAGACGCCGAUCUCUGUCUACCCAGAGGUUUGCAGAUGGUCGGCUCUGGACUCCAGUAGGUUUCUAAUAAUUACGUGAGCAGCAACUUUAUAGCCUUCGAGUGAGACCCAUCUGUGAACUGGUCAUUAGGUGGCCCCGUCCCCAUAGACGAUGGCUUUUUGGAGUUUGUUUCCUAUUUUUAUCCCUAUUCCACUUCCUAAAUCUGUCUUCUAAAUUAUGCUUUCAGUGAGGCAUCGGUCAAGGGUGGAUGACUCUUCUCACAGAGAAUAGCUAACCAGAGACACUUUCUUUUUUCGAUGUCAUAGACUGUCUGCACAAGAUGCUGCUUUGGAAAUAGCGUUGUCAUCUGAGAGACUUGUGUAUGUGAGACUCUCGUCAUCAGGGUGUGUGGCUUAAGGAUGGGAAUUUAGGUAGGAAUGACAACAGGCAAGGAGGCGCUGAGGGAGAAAUACAGAGGGAUCAACACUCUGGCCCGCUGUUACGGAGGAUUCUAAAAUUCCUGUUCACGUGCUAGCGUGUGACUUACAAAGCAACAACAGUUGAGGUGUGCAGGAACACGGGCUCCAUUUCUUUAAGAUCUGUUCCCCUGACAUCAAUGAAGUGAUGCAGUGUUGAGGACACCCCGGCUGGGAGAAGGAAGCAGCGGUCAGCGUCGGGACAUUGGCUCGCCCUCGGCUCAGGGUCCCUGGCCGUGUCUGACUCUGAAACCUUGGUGCUCCCUCCUUGCCUGAUGCCCAGUCCCAUGUAACCCGCCGGCUCCUGCAUUAACCCAGGGGCGCCUCGCUUGUAUCUGUGCAUUUGGCUGGGAACUUGCCCACUAUUAUGAGCUGAAUAAACUGUUUAUAAACUUGA